rnacentral:rRNA from 1 species
UACGUAGGGGGCAAGCGUUGUCCGGAUUUAUUGGGCGUAAAGAGCGUGUAGGCGGAAUGGCAAGUCGGUCGUGAAAUCCUUCGGCUCAACCGAAGAACGUCGAUCGAAACUGCCGUUCUUGAGGAUUGCAGAGGAGACUGGAAUUCCCGGUGUAGCGGUGAAAUGUGUAGAGAUCGGGAGGAACACCGGUGGCGAAGGCGGGUCUCUGGGCCGAUACUGACGCUGAGGAGCGAAAGCGUGGGGAGCGAACAGG